CGUGGAAGAGAAGAUUAUCAUUGACAAG
rnacentral:piRNA from 1 species